rnacentral:rRNA from 1 species
UACGAAGGGGGCUAGCGUUGCUCGGAAUGACUGGGCGUAAAGGGCGCGUAGGCGGAUGGCACAGUCAGAUGUGAAAUUCCCGGGCUUAACCUGGGGGCUGCAUUUGAUACGUGUUGUCUUGAGUUCGGAAGAGGGUCGUGGAAUUCCGGGUGGAGCGGUGAAAUGCGUAGAGAUCCGGAGGAACACCGACGGCGUAGGCAGCGCCCUGGCUGUGAAUAAAGCUGACACUGAGGCACGAAAGCUGGGGGAGCAAACAGG